AAUGGCUUACCAAGACUAUGACAGAUAGCUGGUCUGAGAGGAUGACCAGCCACAAUGGAACUGAGACACGGUCCAUACUCUUACGGGAGGCAGCAGUGAGGAAUCUUCCACAAUGGGCGAAAGCCUGAUGGAGCGACACCGCGUGAAGGAUGAAGGUCUAACGACUGUAAACUUCUUUUCUGAGGGAGCAUAAUGAGAGUACCUCAUGAAUAAGCACCGGCAAAACUCGUGCCAGCAGCCGCGGUAAUACGAGUGGUGCAAGCGUUACCCGGAAUUACUGGGUGUAAAGCGUUCGCAGGCGGAUAUUUAAGUCAGGUAUGAAAGACCGAAGCUCAACUUCGUGUUUGUAUUUGAAACUAUUUAUCUAGAAUUAGGGAGAGGUAAGCGGAAUUCUAAGUGUAGGGGUGCAAUCCGUAGAUACUUAGAAGAACACCAAAAGCGAAGGCAGCUUACUGGAACUAUAUUGACGCUAAGGAACGAAAGCGUGGGGAGCGAAAAGGAUUAGAUACCCUUGUAGUCCACGCCCUAAAUGAUGAUAAUUAAGUGUUGCAUUUUAUGCAGUGCUGUAGCUAACGCGUUAAAUUAUCCACCUGAGAAGUACGAUCGCAAGAUUAAAACUCAAAGGAAUAGACGGGGACCCACACAAGCAGUGGAUCAUGUGGUUUAAUUCGACAAUAAACGAGGAAUCUUACCCAGACUUGACAUCCUAAGAAUCCUGUGGAAACACGGGAGUGCUCGCAAGAGAGCUUAGAGACAGGUGCUGCAUGGUUGUCGUCAGCUCGUGCCUUGAGGUGUUCGGUUAAGUCCGUUAACGAGCGAAACCUAUGUCGUUAGUUAUUAUGUCUAACGAGACUGCCCUUGUUAAUAGGGAGGAAGGUGUAGAUGAUGUCAAAUCAGCAUGGCUUUUACGUCUGGGGCCACACACAUGAUACAAUGGUACGUACAAUGAGUAGCAAUAUGGUAACAUGGAGCUAAUCUUUAAAGCGUAUCUCAGUCCGGAUUGAGGUCUGAAACUCGACCUCAUGAAGUUGGAAUUGCUAGUAAUCGUGAAUCAGAUAUGGCGCGGUG
rnacentral:rRNA from 1 species